UUACUCCCUUCAAGCUGUGAAGCUUUGCGGU
rnacentral:piRNA from 1 species